AUUCGGUAAUGGUGUUAUGCCAUUGUUCUUACCACUAUAAGAUCAAGCAAUUUACUACAGAUCCACAGAGAUGAUGCCUAUGUACAUGGAGAAAGCAGUUUGAUCCAGACAAAACUGGAAAUGAUUUGCAAUCAUUAUAUCGCACAUAUCUAAUGUGCCCAAAACUGUCCCAGCCUAGCUCAGUAGCAGGGGAAGUGGAUCCAACUAUAUUAGCAUCAGUGGGCUGCAGCCUAGGGCUCCACAAAAUUUUACUGAUGCCUGAGUAGGGGAGCCAAAUCACAGUGCCAUAGCCCGUGCACAAACCUUCUUGCUGCUUUGUAAGCCGCCUGAAUUUUAAGGGAACUUGCUUAUAUUGGGAGAAAGGAAGAAAACUCCAUUUGUCCUCUAAAUGUUUGCUGAAAAUAAACUGACAAAAGGAAGAUUAAUAAGAGAAAAGGCAAACAAAAUUCAUUUAAAGUGCAGCAGGAUAUCAUAGCAGGGUGAUUACCCAAAUAACUCAAUAAGAUCCAGUAGUUCAUAUUUCCUUUCCAGCGAAGACGGAAUUCGGAAGUGUAGGCAAUCUGGAGAGAAUAGAUGAGAACAGAAGUGCAUCUUCAAAAGAACAGGUAAUAGCCUGUCUGGAUAAAGCAUCAGUUCCCAGUCUCUUCUAUUUUUGAUUCCUGUUUUGUGUUAAUCUUCCCUGAUAUAAAAAUUCUCAGGAAGAAGUUUUUUGACAAUUGGUUUCCUUCUGGAGAAUCUGCUUUUUGGCAGAUAAGCGAUGUUUAGGAGAAGGCUUUUUGUGCAUUUGCUGCUUUCUAAAUGCCUUUGGUUUUAUGUAAUCCUCAUACGAAUGCAGCAUAGUUUGAGAUGUUAUUUUCUGGAUUCCUUUACUUACAACUCACCUACCAAGAUCCUGUUCCAGAGAGAUGCAGCUACAGACUGAAAGAGCAGUUGACCCCUGAACAAUGUGGAGGUUGGGGCACUGACCACAGGUGCAGAUGAAAACCUGUGUAGAACUUUUGCAUUUCUAACUUAAGUACUAAUAGCUUACUUUUGACUGCUAGCCUUAAUGAUAAAAUAAAUAGUUGAUUAACACUUUUUUAAGUUAUUUAUAUCAUAUACUCUAUUAUUCCAAUAAACUAUGCUAAAGAAAAAAAUGUAAUUAAGUAAAUUAUAAAAAUGAGAAAAUAUAUUUACUACUUAUUAAGUACUUGCUUACAGGUGACACACACAGAAGAAAAUACAAGUGGAUCUGCAAAUUUCAAACCCAAUUUAUUCAAGGGUUAACUGUACCAGGAUGAAUAUAGGAGUCUCUAUCUGUAUUCUAGGGCUUUCUCUUUGCUGUACCUCUGCUCACUUCCAAUGGCAAUAUACAUGUCUUAUGUUCUUUACAGUCUUGGGCAGAGAACUCUGCCUGCAUGCAUUGCUGACCAAAUGACCUGGAAUGUGUAUCUCUUAGGAAAGUGCUAUGGUUUCACUGUGUCCUCCAGAAUCCAUCUGUUGUAAAGUUAAUUCUCAGUGUAAUGGUAUUGCCAAUUGGGGCCUAUUGGGAUGUGUUUAGAUCAUGAGUGUGGUGCCCUCUAGUGGAAUACAUUAAUGCCAGUAUAAACAGCAAUUGUGGGGCUGGGAUCUCUCUCUCUUCUGCUUGUCUGUCAUGUUAAGACAUGGCCUUCCUUCCUUUGAAGGACCCCAAACUCCAGGCAUCAUCUUGAAAGCAAAGAAAGCAGACCUUAACCUGCCCAUGCCUUGAACUUAAAUUUCCCAUUCUCCAGAAGUGUAAGAAAAUAAAUUUGUGUUCUUUAUGAAUUACUCAGUGAAAAGGAAUCUGUUACAGCAGCUUGAAAUAGAACAAGAGAGACAGCUCACAAUCAGUGAGGACAGGAUGAGGUGUAUACAUACUUCAGCUUCCUCAUCUCUCAGGUGGAACAGCCCGGAGGAAUUUAGUCCAUGUUUCCACAGGUGGUUGAUCUUCAGUUCUCCUGAGUCAGGAUUCAUCUACAUGACAAGAACCCCCCAUUUUCUAGACUCAAGCAUUUCUUUAUGAUGAAUUCAACUCUUUAGGCAGAGCUUAACUCUUUCAACCAGUUGCCAAUCAGGAAAGCUUUGAAUCCACCUAUGACCUGGAAACCCCUGCUUCAAGCUAUCCCACCUUUCCAGGACAAACUUAUGUGUAUCUUAUAUGUACUGAUUUAUGUCUUUGCCUGUAAUUUCUGUGUCUCCUAAAGUGUAUAAAACCAACGUAAAAUCCAACCACCUUAGGCAUAUGUUUGCAGGACCUCCUAAGGCUGUGUCACAGGCCAUAAGCCAUAUAUUUGGCAAAAUAACCUGUAAAUUGAUUGAGACCUGCCUCAGAUAGUGUUUUGCUUACACUAGGUCACAAAAUUUUAAAAUGCCUAAACCGCAGCAGCCCGGCAUUCCUCCAGGACCUCCUCCCCCGGGAUCUUGCUUCAAGUGCUGGAAAUCUGGCCACUGGACCGAGGAAUGCCCACAGCCUGGGAUUCCUCCUAAGCCGUGUCCCAUCUGUGCAGGACCCCACUGGAAAUUGGACUGUCCAACUCUCCUGGCAGCCACUCCCAGAGCCACUGGAACUCUGGCCCAAGGCUCUCUGACUGACUCCUUCCCAGAUCUUCUCAGCUUAGCUGCUGAAGACUGAUGCUGCCCAAUCGCCUUGGAAGCCUCCUGGACCAUCACAGACACUUUGGGUAACUCUUACAGUGGAGAGUAAGUCCAUCCCCUUCUUAAUCAAUGUGGAGUCUACCCACUCCACAUUACCUUCUUUUCAACGACCUGUUUCCCUUGCCGCCAUAACUGUUGUGGGUAUUGACGGCCAGGCUUCUAAAUCUCUUAAAACUCCCCAACUCUGUUGCGAACUUGGACAACAUUCUUUUAUGCACUCCUUUUUAGUUAUCCUUACCUGCCCAGUUUCCUUAUUAGGUCGAGACGUUUUAACAAAACUAUCCACUUCCCUGACUAUUCCUGGGCUACAGCCACACCUCAUUGCCACCCUUUUCCUCACUUCAAAGCCUCCUUUGCAUCCUCCCCUGUGUCUCCCUGCCUUAAUCCACAAGUAUGGGAUACCUCUACUCCUUCCUUGGCAACUGAUCAUGCACCCCUUACCAUCCCGUUAAAACCUAAUCACUGUUACCACUAGAGCCUGUUAUCACCCACCUGUUACAACAUGGCCUCUUAAAGCCUACAAAUUCUCCUUACUGAGGGAAGAGAGAGACCCUCUCAUAUUGUUUUAUAUUGUUUUAUACUCAGUACCUGUUUUAAGAGUAAAAAUCAAGGAAGUGAAAUCAGAGACAGGCAGCCCGGCGCCAGGCCUGGGCCUGCCUGGCCUAAACCUAGUAGUUAAAAAUCAUCUCAUGACUUAGCAACCAAUGUUAUCCAUAGAUUCCAAGCAUUGUAUGAAGAACAUUGUGAAACUCCCUGUUCUGUUCUGUUUGACUCUGACUACCAGUGCAUGAAGACCCUGUUACAUAACCCCUAGAUUGCUCAAUCAAUCACGACCCUUUCAUGUAAAAUCUUUAGUGUUGUGAGCCCUUAAAAUGGACAGAAAUUGUGCACUCAAGGAGCUCCGAUUUUAAGACAGUAGCUUGCCGAUGCUCCCAGCUGAAUAAAGCCCUUCCUUCUACAACUCGGUGUCUGAGAGGUUUUGUCCAUGGCUCAUCCUGCUACAUUACAACUCCCCUAUCCUAC
rnacentral:lncRNA from 10 species